rnacentral:rRNA from 1 species
UACGAGGGGGGCGAGCGUUGUUCGGAAUUAUUGGGCGUAAAGGGUGCGUAGGCGGUUCCGCAAGUCCUGUGUGAAAUCUUCGGGCUCAACUCGAAGUCUGCACGGGAAACUGCGGGGCUUGAGUGUGGGAGAGGUGAGUGGAAUUCCCGGUGUAGCGGUGAAAUGCGUAGAUAUCGGGGAGGAACACCUGUGGCGAAAAGCGGCUCACUGGACCAUACUGA